AUGCUUACCUGGCUAGGGGCAGACACCAUGCUCAAAGAAGGCGGUCACCCCGGGCGAGGCUUGGCAGGGCAUCCGGCAUGGCUGGGACCCCUGCGAAUUCCCAAAUGUGGAGGGAAUCUUGACUGCAUAAUUUAGGGGUAGUGGGGAUGCGUUAGUCUGCACCUGAA